rnacentral:rRNA from 1 species
GUGGGGGAUAACCAUUGGAAACGAUGGCUAAUACCGCAUGAUGCCUACGGGCCAAAGAGGGGGACCUUCGGGCCUCUCGCGUCAGGAUAUGCCUAGGUGGGAUUAGCUAGUUGGUGAGGUAAGGGCUCACCAAGGCGACGAUCCCUAGCUGGUCUGAGAGGAUGAUCAGCCACACUGGAACUGAGACACGGUCCAGACUCCUACGGGAGGCAGCAGUGGGGAAUAUUGCACAAUGGGCGCAAGCCUGAUGCAGCCAUGCCGCGUGUGUGAAGAAGGCCUUCGGGUUGUAAAGCACUUUCAGUCGUGAGGAAGGUAGUGUAGUUAAUAGCUGCAUCG